rnacentral:rRNA from 1 species
GACGAACUUUGGCGGCGUGCUUAACACAUGCAAGUCGAACGGAAAGGCCCUGCUUUUGUGGGGUGCUCGAGUGGCGAACGGGUGAGUAACACGUGAGUAACCUGCCCUUGACUUUGGGAUAACUUCAGGAAACUGGGGCUAAUACCGGAUAGGAGCUCCUGCUGCAUGGUGGGGGUUGGAAAGUUUCGGCGGUUGGGGAUGGACUCGCGGCUUAUCAGCUUGUUGGUGGGGUAGUGGCUUACCAAGGCUUUGACGGGUAGCCGGCCUGAGAGGGUGACCGGCCACAUUGGGACUGAGAUACGGCCCAGACUCCUACGGGAGGCAGCAGUGGGGAAUAUUGCACAAUGGGCGGAAGCCUGAUGCAGCAACGCCGCGUGCGGGAUGACGGCCUUCGGGUUGUAAACCGCUUUCGCCUGUGACGAAGCGUGAGUGACGGUAAUGGGUAAAGAAGCACCGGCUAACUACGUGCCAGCAGCCGCGGUGAUACGUAGGGUGCGAGCGUUGUCCGGAUUUAUUGGGCGUAAAGGGCUCGUAGGUGGUUGAUCGCGUCGGAAGUGUAAUCUUGGGGCUUAACCCUGAGCGUGCUUUCGAUACGGGUUGACUUGAGGAAGGUAGGGGAGAAUGGAAUUCCUGGUGGAGCGGUGGAAUGCGCAGAUAUCAGGAGGAACACCAGUGGCGAAGGCGGUUCUCUGGGCCUUUCCUGACGCUGAGGAGCGAAAGCGUGGGGAGCGAACAGGCUUAGAUACCCUGGUAGUCCACGCUGUAAACGGUGGGUACUAGGUGUGGGGUCCAUUCCACGGGUUCCGUGCCGUAGCUAACGCUUUAAGUACCCCGCCUGGGGAGUACGGCCGCAAGGCUAAAACUCAAAGGAAUUGACGGGGCCCCGCACAAGCGGCGGAGCAUGCGGAUUAAUUCGAUGCAACGCGUAGAACCUUACCUGGGUUUGACAUGGAUCGGGAGUGCUCAGAGAUGGGUGUGCCUCUUUUGGGGUCGGUUCACAGGUGGUGCAUGCCUGUCGUCAGCUCGUGUCGUGAGAUGUUGGGUUAAGUCCCGCAACGAGCGCAACCCUUGUUCACUGUUGCCAGCACGUUAUGGUGGGGACUCAGUGGAGACCGCCGGGGUCAACUCGGAGGAAGGUGGGGAUGACGUCAAGUCAUCAUGCCCCUUAUGUCCAGGGCUUCACGCAUGCUACAAUGGCUGGUACAGAGAGUGGCGAGCCUGUGAGGGUGAGCGAAUCUCGGAAAGCCGGUCUCAGUUCGGAUUGGGGUCUGCAACUCGACCUCAUGAAGUCGGAGUCGCUAGUAAUCGCAGAUCAGCAACGCUGCGGUGAAUACGUUCCCGGGGCU